GUUUUAAUAGUUUAAUUAGAAAAUCAUGAUCUUGUAAAUCAUAGAUAGGGAAGCCUUUAAAACU
rnacentral:tRNA from 1 species